CGGGGUAUGGCGCAGCUUGGUAGCGCGCAUCCUUCGGGAGGAUGAGGCCGGAGGUUCGAAUCCUCUUACCCCGACCA
rnacentral:tRNA from 1 species